CAGGUCUUGACAUCCUCUGACAACCCUAGAGAUAGGGCCUUCCCCUUCGGGGGACAGAGUGACAGGUGGUGCAUGGUUGUCGUCAGCUCGUGUCGUGAGAUGUUGGGUUAAGUCCCGCAACGAGCGCAACCCUUGUCCUUAGUUGCCAGCAUUCAGUUGGGCACUCUAGGGAGACUGCCGGUGACAAACCGGAGGAAGGUGGGGAUGACGUCAAAUCAUCAUGCCCCUUAUGACCUGGGCUACACACGUGCUACAAUGGGUGGUACAAAGGGCAGCGAGACCGCGAGGUUAAGCAAAUCCCAUAAAACCACUCUCAGUUCGGAUUGCAGGCUGCAACUCGCCUGCAUGAAGCUGGAAUCGCUAGUAAUCGCGGAUCAGCAUGCCGCGGUGAAUACGUUCCC
rnacentral:rRNA from 1 species